rnacentral:rRNA from 1 species
GACGAACGCUGGCGGCGUGCCCAAUACAUGCAAGUUGAGCGCUGAAGGUUGGUACUUGUACCAACUGGAUGAGCAGCGAACGGGUGAGUAACGCGUGGGGAAUCUGCCUUUGAGCGGGGGACAACAUUUGGAAACGAAUGCUAAUACCGCAUAAAAACUUUAAACACAAGUUUUAAGUUUGAAAGAUGCAAUUGCAUCACUCAAAGAUGAUCCCGCGUUGUAUUAGCUAGUUGGUGAGGUAAAGGCUCACCAAGGCGAUGAUACAUAGCCGACCUGAGAGGGUGAUCGGCCACAUUGGGACUGAGACACGGCCCAAACUCCUACGGGAGGCAGCAGUAGGGAAUCUUCGGCAAUGGACGAAAGUCUGACCGAGCAACGCCGCGUGAGUGAAGAAGGGUUUUGGAUCGUAAAACUCUGUUGGUAGAGAAGAACGUUGGUGAGAGUGGAAAGCUCAUCAAGUGACGGUAACUACCCAGAAAGGGACGGCUAACUACGUG